CGUAGCUCAGUCAAGGGGUAAAUGCUUGGGAAGUUCGACCUCUUUGUCUGAAACCGUGAAGAAGAACCACUUAUCAAUGCAGGUGAUGCCAUCUGAGGUGGCCCAAGUUGGAAUCUUCCCUUGUCAGUCAAUGUAUGAAGAAUGCUUCUUACUAGUUCAGGCCAAAGGGAAGAGAAGGAAGGUUGGUUUUGUCCAGCAUUUCAUUCUUCCAGCCUUAGGGUGGUUUAUUCCUGCUUGUAAAUUAGUUUGCCAUAAAAACACAAAGGAGGCACAUAAAAAUCCGUACAUUUCCAGAUGAAUUUCCUCUAAUCGAAUCCUUUGCUGCAUGAAGGUCACAAGGACCCAGCAGGAAUAUCCCAAUCCAAACCAGAAGGACCAUCCCUGGUCUAGAAGCACCUACAUCUUCAAGAUGACUUGUGUGAUUUUGCCAAAACUGUCUGAAUGGAAUCAAGGAAAAGUUCUAACGCUUUAUAAUUUCUAUGUGAUUUCAUCCACGGGCUCAUUUGCGUCGUAUACAAGACUUUUCGUGACAGCGAGGUGGGAGAUGAAUAUGCUCUCCUACACUUAAGGAGACUGAGCCAAUCUAGUCAUCUAGAUUCUAGUCAAGACAAGUGCAUAUAAACAGAGACAAAACCCCCACCCCAUUUUAGCACCGAUGAUGUUGCCUAGUUGGGUAAGGAAACAUCUGCAAGAAAACAACUCAGCUGAGAGCACCAAGGACCCACAAUUCAGAAAGACUAGAUUGGAGAUGGGCACCAAGAUGUCCUCUAGGCAGUUUGGGAAUCCUUUCACUCUCAGUCCCUUGGGGCAACGGCAAAGGCUUAUGGGACCUACCCGAAGAGCAGGCCUCCCAUAACUCCUUUGCCACGUUCUAACCUUUUUGCUAUCGCAUGCCAAAAGCGGGGGUCGUGCGGGGGGGGGGGAGUUGCGUGCGUGCGUGCUCACAUCCAUAGUUCUAUGUCCCCCCCACCCCUGGGCAUGCGCACGUGACCCCUCCAUGCUCCCCCCACUUUUGGCACACAAUGGCACAGUGGGCCCGGUAGGCCCAUUUUUCGCUCUCCGCAGGCUCCAGAGCCUUUCUAGGAGUCUGGGGAGGGUGAAAACAGCCUUUCCCACCCCCAGGAGGCCUUCUGGAGGCUGGAAAUGGCCCAUUUGGCGACUUCUGGUGGGCCCAGAAGGCCCGAAAAUUAGCUGACUGGCGUGCACAUGUGCACCGGAGCUGAGCUCACAUGCCCACUGAUAUGUCUCCCUGUGCCACCUGUGGCAUGCGUGCCAUAGGUUCACCAUCACGGCCCUAUGAGACCAUCCUCCACCCCACAGGGCAGGCGGCCUGAAUUGGGCCAGUGUGCCCAGUGAGCGGGAGAGCCCUUCGGCCAUCCGUCUGAUGCUCCCUUCCCAAAGCAACCUCAGGAGGGAGGGUGAACGUUGUUUUUUGUCUGAGGCAAGGCUCGCAGCAAACUCAUUUCAGCUGCGAGUCAUAAGACUCCGAUUAUAGAAAGGAGUCUUUUCCAAAAAGAGACAGCAGCUCCAGGACUUUCUGUUCCUCUCUAAACAUUCUGAUGGCUCUUUUUCAAGUACAUCAGGCAGAUUCGGUUACAAGGAGGCAAAGCAAGGCUGCGCGUGGCCGGGAGCCAAUCCGGGGUGGGAAAAAAAAGGAGACACGUCUCAAGCCAAGCUUUCAGAUCCAACACUUAGGCACCAAAAAUAAGUGGCAGGAUUGUUCGAGACCUCCUAACAUAGCUUCGGCCAUCAGCCGCGGAUGUUAUUGCCAGUGAGAACUUUGCUGGGGAAAAUGUGGCUGGACUUAUUUAUUUGUCCUUGUCUUAGACAUUCACACCACAUCAUCUAAAAGGAGAGGAAGGCAGGGAGAGUGAGAGAGAGAGUGAAUGAGAGAGAGAGAAAGAGAGAAUGAGAGAGAGAGAGAGAAUGAGAGUGAGCGAAAGGGAGAGAGAGAGGGAGGGAGAGAGAGAGGGAGGGAGGGAGGAAGGGAGAGAGAGAAAGAGAGGGAUUUGCUAUUUGUAACUCCAGCUGUCCCAUCUCAGAAAAGUUAUUGGGGAGUAAACAAAAGAGUAACUAAAACAAUUGUGGAACUGGGACAUCUUCCGUAUGAAGACAGAGGGAUUCAAACGAAAAGGACCUGAACUGCUGCCAAGAAGAGAAGAGAAAAAGGUCAACUAAAACCAAGAGCCAACUCUAGCAUCUUCUCUAAAGAGGAAGAGACACAUCAGAGGGUUUAUCAAUAUGAGAUGCAAAGAGGUAGACCGAAAGACCUUCUUCUUUCUUCUACCGGCAUUUCAUGGAACUGGUAGAAAAGCCGAGGUGGAGAAGGAGACUCGAGUCAGAAGUAAAGAUGCGGUUGUUCCACCCAUCCCUUUACUAAGUUGUGGAAUUAUUACUUACAAAAUGUAGGCUGACCACUGUCUCCAAUAAAACGUUCCAAGAAUUAGAUAAUAUCCCUGAAGACAGAUCUAUUAAUGCUUAUUCAUUCUGAUGGCAAUCUGGAACCUCUAUUUCGGCAGCUGUAGAGGACUUGCUUGAGGAGAAGGACUACUGGUUUCCAAACCGUCCCUUUGGAUGUCCUGGAGACUAUCUGAGGGGCAUCUGAGAGAAACAGAAUGCCGGUCUUUUGAUACCACCUUGCUUCUUGGGAAGUCAAGAACUUGGUCUAAGGUUCCACACCACCCCAAAAUCUUUAAUGGAGGUGGAAAUCUCUGACUAAUGGAGUAAGAUCGUCAAUCGGUCCAAGAGAGUGAACUUUGUUGGGUCAGAUCUUUACAUACGUGCAGUAAACGUGUGGCCGCACCCACUCUCUCAUGGGCUCUUUCCUCAGGGUCAUCAUUACCUGAUCCUCCCCCCACUCUCCAAUUAUUUGAAGAUUUCGGGUUGUCCGUGUGAACGCAGCAUGAACACCAAUAGGUGGGGCAAUGGUUAGAAUGCAGUAUUUCAGGCAAACUGGAAUAGGGGCCUGGAGACUAAAACAUAUAAAGAACGGUUACUGGAAUUGGGUAUGUCUGGUUUAAUGAGAAGAAGGACUAGGGGAGACAUGAUAGCAGUCUUCCGAUAUCUCAGGGGCUGCCACAAAGAAGAGGGAGUCAAACUAUUCUCUAAAGCACCUGAGGACAGGACAAGAAGCAAUGGGUGGAAACUGAUCAAGGAAAGAAGCAACUUAGAAUUGAGGAGGAAUUUCCUGACAGUGAGAACAAUCAAUCAUUGGAACAUCUUGCCUGCAGAAAUUGUGAAUGCUCCAACACUGGAAGUUUUUAAGAAGAUGUUGGAUAAUCCUUUGUCUGAAGUGCUGUAGGUUUCCUGCCUGGGCAGGGGGUUGGACUAGAAGAUCUCCAAGGUCUCUUCCAACUCUGUUGUUGUUGUUGUUGUUGCUGUUAUUAUUAUUAAACUCUGCCCAGAGCCUGGAGUUUGAUCCUGAUGGGGCUCAAGGUUGACUCAGCCUUCCAUCCUUUUGAGGUGGGUAAAAGGAGGAUCUGGAUAGCCAUGCUAUCCUCUGGCUGGUUUUUUGCUGGUGCCCUUUGGUGUGCGUGGAAUCCACAGAAAGCUGGCAUCCUCCGUUCACAUGGAAUGAAAGAGGCCCCUUGGCUGCCACGAAUUGCUCUUUCCAGAUUUGGAAAGAUGGACUUCUGAAAUAUCCGGAGACUGAAGGAGGCUGGAAUAGGAGGCAACACGACUGAGACUUGUUAGAAAUGUCCAGCCAUUCCAGGGACUCAUGAAGUUGCAAGAAUCCAAGUAUCCAUUUCCCUGAAUGUCCUGCCUGCCUCAUAGACCCUUCCUCAAGCCGAAGACAUUGCAACCAGCCUCCAGAACGUAUCAGAUCUUCUUGACGUUCCUCAUAACCACAGAGUCCAAAUGCAACAAUACAUUCCCGACCCACACCCAAGAGUAUACCCAUACUCAACCAUUAUCAUCCUUGUUUUUAAUAACAACCCAAACCACUUCUCCUCUUGACAUUUCAUUAAAAAUAUUUUUUUCAUCUUUUCUAUUCAGCUCAAUUCCUGGUAACUGCAAAGACGUAUCCAUGUUGCUUUCUUGGCAAAGGUAUGAAAGGGCCUAUGACCCUGGGACAUCUCAUGAAUUGGUGGAAUUUGUUCUUACAUGAAUGGACAGUUGGCUUUGAAAUAGGAUGCACCAUGUCCAGGGAUGACAGAUGCCUACCAGUGGCUGAGAGGAUAGAGAUGUCCUAUCAGUUCCUUAAGAGGGACUCUUCAUGCAUGCCCUGAUCUUAACUCUCUUACAGCAACAUGAUAAACAGACACGUUCUCCUCUUUAUGUCUAGGCCAGCUGUUCCAAGCCUGCUAGCAGAAACCAUAAUCCUUAUAAUUUUGGGGAGCCCACAUGUGUAGAAGGAGCAGGUGGGAAAGACCAGCCUAAUCCUUGCUGCCUAUCUAGGAAGCGUAUCAGCCCUUCUUCCUGAAAAGCUCACUGCCGUUACACCUAGCAGUCCUGACAGUGGGUGGGGGGCAUCACUGAGCCUCCUCAAAUCCAACUUGGAUCCUGUACAGGCAUCCAAAUUAAAGCCUCCAGGCUCUGCUUCAACGCCUCUAGUAAAGCAGGAACCCGGCACCUGCCCUGCCUCACUGGUUCCACCAUUGUCAAUGGAAUCUCAAAUAGGUGAUUUUGUGUCCUGCUUUCUGGAAGGAUGGAGGUUGGGGGCUUCCUCUGGGGGGCUGAUAUCCCUUUGGGUAAUUAAAGAGGGUUUUUAUAUCUCCCUUCUGUCUCCUCUGCUUAAGGUUCAGCACCUUGUUAAAUUCCUAAGAUUAACAUGGUUUGCAACCCACGUAGCCCCUUGCAUUUGAUUCCUGUUCUCCGAGUUCUUAAUUUUGCAUUUGGUUCAGUUUCUUGGUUCAUUUCAGCCAGGGGUGGGCUUCAAAAAAUUUAGCAAGGGGUUCUCUGCCCGGUUGCUGGGUGGGUGUGGCCAUGGUGGGCUUGGCCUAGUUGGCUUCCUGUACCACAGUGGGGUGGUGGUGGCGUUUUUGCCCUCCCCAGGCUCUGAAGGCUUUCCUUGAGCCUCAUGGUGGGCGAAAUCAGCACUUGAAUUUCCGGUAGGCCUAUUUUUCACUCCCCCUGAGCCUCUGUGCAUGUCCUAAAAUUACCUGCAUCCAAAACGGGCCACAUGGGGACUCCUGGGAGGGGUGGGGCAGGGGGAGUGGGGUGGGGUGGGUCCCGCCAGGAAUGGGAUUUGGGGGUUCUCCGAAGUGCACAGAAUCUUAGCUAGAGGUUCUCCCGAACCCCUGCAGACCCCCAGGAGCCCACCCCUGAUUUCAGCCCAUUGCUCUAACUUCCUUUCCACUGAGGAUCCAUUCCACUCCACACCCAGGAGCCCUCUUGGCUCUGUAAAAGAACCCCUAGGAAGAAAAACUCCUUUGGAUCCACCAAGGCACCUGAUGUUCCCCGAGACUUAAUCGGUGUUUGAGAUCUGCAAAAAUGGCAAAACAAGAUGGCCGACCACUUUGAACCCUCCACGGUCCUCAAUCUGAAGGUGGGGGGGGGGAAGCUAAAUGAUGCGUAUUCUCUCCCCCAUGGAAGCUGAGGAAACUCCACAGCCUUGCAGGGUUUUGAAAAGGCUCCUUCACUUGGAGCGCAGGCCCUCUUCCUCCCCCCAACCCCCCAAAGUGCAGCCUCACGUCCUGCUCAGCGAGAGGAAGCUAUCAAUUUCUUGGCAAGGAGGAAGCCAGCUCUGAAAAUACGGCCCCUUUCUGACAUGUAACCGAGAAGGCCGUGUUUACAGCUCAAGAAGGCGAUGAUGAACGUGUCUCAUCGGGUCACAGUGACCCAAUGCCGCCUAUUUUUGUUCCUCUCCAGUUCUGCGUUUCGAUGUCGCCCUCUGAGCCCUGGCACCGACGCCAAUCUCCUUGGCAGCCCCUGACAGGUCAUCUCAAAGUUUUCAAUCAAAACACACUCCAUGCCUCUCUGCGGGUCCCUCCCCGCCCAAGGUCACCAGAGAUGUUGGCAGCCGACAGCUCUCUUCAACUUGAGUUCCAGGAGGGCGCCUGGGAGAGACGCUUCCUAGAAGGAAGCAUGAGACAAACAGGUGGGUCUUUUUUUCCCCGGGACAGAAGAGGCACAGAACGUCCACCUUUCUCUCUGCCUGGGAGCUUUAAGGCACCUGCCACAGGUGAUCUUUUGGCCUGGGGCAAACUACAAGGACAUUGUAUGUGACCAACAUCAUUGCAUUAAUUAUAUCAUGUCAUGUAUGAAGGGCUAUUUAACAGAAGAUCCAUCUGUUAAACUACUGAAGUUCGCAGAUGACACAACAGUGAUCGGUCUCAUUCAAGACAAUGAAUUCUAUUCUAUUCUAUUCUAUUCUAUUCUAUUCUAUUC